rnacentral:rRNA from 1 species
AUGGCCCACUUGGAGACUUGGGAUCUCAGCAGGAAAUGUGAAGGUUGUUUAAAGCCGGCCGAUAGGCGAAAGAGAAUCCAAAAGUUUUGUUCUGAUCUGAGUAGGCUCAACAUAGGGAAUACCCUAACCCUGGGAACCGGGGCAUAUAAAUCCGCUUAUGGCAUUCACCCAAGCAUACAGAGACAGAUGGAAUGA